rnacentral:siRNA from 1 species
GGUGCAUGCGGAAAGGUUUAAAAG